ACUCAAAGGAAUUGACGGGGGCCCGCACAAGCGGCGGAGCAUGCGGAUUAAUUCGAUGCAACGCGAAGAACCUUACCUAGGUUUGACAUAUACGAGAAGCCUCUGGAGACAGAGGUCUCUUUGGACACUUGUAUACAGGUGGUGCAUGGCUGUCGUCAGCUCGUGUCGUGAGAUGUUGGGUUAAGUCCCGCAACGAGCGCAACCCUCGUCUUAUGUUGCCAGCACGUAAUGGUGGGGACUCAUAAGAGACUGCCGGGGUCAACUCGGAGGAAGGUGGGGAUGACGUCAAGUCAUCAUGCCCCUUAUGCCUAGGGCUUCACGCAUGCUACAAUGGCCGGUACAAAGGGCUGCGAUACCGCAAGGUGGAGCGAAUCCCAAAAAGCCGGUCUCAGUUCGGAUUGGGGUCUGCAACUCGACCCCAUGAAGUCGGAGUCGCUAGUAAUCGCAGAUCAGCAACGCUGCGGUGAAUACGUUCCCGGGCCUUGUACACACCGCCCGU
rnacentral:rRNA from 1 species